rnacentral:rRNA from 1 species
UUAACUCGUUUGAAGGGGUUGUAGCUGGCCUUCCGAGGCAGGUGCACGCCCUGCUCAUCCACUCUACACCUGUGCACUUACUGUGGGUUUCGAGCGCCGCAUUGGCUUAACAUGCUAUGUGCGGCAACCGGGCCCACGUUUUACUACAAACGCUUCAGUAUCAGAAUGUGUAUCGUGAUGUAACGCAUCUAUAUACAACUUUCAGCAACGGAUCUCUUGGCUCUCGCAUCGAUGAAGAACGCAGCGAAAUGCGAUAAGUAAUGUGAAUUGCAGAAUUCAGUGAAUCAUCGAAUCUUUGAACGCACCUUGCGCUCCUUGGUAUUCCGAGGAGCAUGCCUGUUUGAGUGUCAUGAAAUUCUCAACCUACAAAUCCUUGUGGUUUGUGGGCUUGGACUUGGAGGCUUGCUGGCUUUAUGGUCGGCUCCUCUCAAAUGCAUUAGCUCGAUUCCUUGCGGAUUGGCUCUCGGUGUGAUAAUUGUCUACGCCGUGACCGUGAAGCGUUUGGUGGGCUUACAGCCGUCUCUUCUGAGACACUUCAUUGACAUCUGACCUCAAAUCAGGUAGGAUUACCCGCUGAACUUAAGCAUAUCAAUAAGCCGGAGGACCUGUCC